rnacentral:rRNA from 1 species
CGCAAACCGACACAGGUAGUCAAGAUGAGAAUUCUAAGGUGAGCGAGCGAACUCUCGUUAAGGAACUCGGCAAAAUGACCCCGUAACUUCGGGAGAAGGGGUGCUCUUUGAGGUUCACGCUUCGAAGAGCCGCAGUGAAUAGGCCCAAGCGACUGUUUAUCAAAAACACAGGUCUCUGCUAAACCGUAAGGUGACGUAUAGGGGCUGACGCCUGCCCGGUGCUGGAAGGUUAAGAGGAGUGGUUAGCGCAAGCGAAGCUACGAAUCGAAGCCCCAGUAAACGGCGGCCGUAACUAUAACGGUCCUAAGGUAGCGAAAUUCCUUGUCGGGUAAGUUCCGACCCGCACGAAAGGCGUAACGAUUUGGGCACUGUCUCAACGAGAGACUCGGUGAAAUCAUAGUACCGGUGAAGAUGCCGGUUACCCGCGACAGGACGGAAAGACCCCGUGGAGCUUUACUGUAGCCUGAUAUUGAAAUUCGGUACAGUUUGUACAGGAUAGGUAGGAGCCUUAGAAGCGUGAGCGCUAGCUUACGUGGAGGCAUUGGUGGGAUACUACCCUAAUUGUAUUGGAUUUCUAACCCGCAGCACUUAUCGUGCUGGGAGACAGUGUCAGGCGGGCAGUUUGACUGGGGCGGUCGCCUCCUAAAGAGUAACGGAGGCGCUCAAAGGUUCCCUCAGAAUGGUUGGAAAUCAUUCAUAGAGUGUAAAGGCAUAAGGGAGCUUGACUGCGAGACCUACAAGUCGAGCAGGGUCGAAAGACGGACUUAGUGAUCCGGUGGUUCCGCAUGGAAGGGCCAUCGCUCAACGGAUAAAAGCUACCCCGGGGAUAACAGGCUUAUCUCCCCCAAGAGUUCACAUCGACGGGGAGGUUUGGCACCUCGAUGUCGGCUCAUCGCAUCCUGGGGCUGUAGUCGGUCCCAAGGGUUGGGCUGUUCGCCCAUUAAAGCGGUACGCGAGCUGGGUUCAGAACGUCGUGAGACAGUUCGGUCCCUAUCCGUCGUGGGCGUAGGAAAUUUGAGAGGAGCUGUCCUUAGUACGAGAGGACCGGGAUGGACAUACCUCUGGUGUACCAGUUGUCGUGCCAACGGCAUAGCUGGGUAGCUAUGUAUGGACGGGAUAAGUGCUGAAAGCAUCUAAGCAUGAAGCCCCCCUCGAGAUGAGAUUUCCCAACUUCGGUUAUAAGAUCCCUCAAAGAUGAUGAGGUGAAUAGGUUCGAGGUGGAAGCGUAGCGAUACGUGGAGCUGACGAAUACUA